GCGGCUGGGGCUGUGAUGCUAGGGUUUCUUGUUGUGUUGGGCUGCGUUGGUAGUUGGGUUGGACUAUUGAUUGGGCUGGAUGGUAUUUAAAAAUUGGGUUUAGCGUCUGUUUAGGUUUAGAUUCGGGUUUGGGUAGUGAUUUGGGCCAUUAGGCUGGAGGGUUAGGCUAAGUGUAAUUAGGUUUGAGCCAUGUUGGGCCUACUGUUGGGUCUAGUGAGUUUUCUUUUUGUAAUUUGGACUGCUAUUUUAUUGGAAUUUUUUUAUUUGGUUUAUUUAUUUUUUGUUUGUGCUUUUGGGUUCGGGAAAAUUGGGCCUAUUACAGCUGCCCCUCUUUGCUC
rnacentral:lncRNA from 1 species